CCUACACGACCGUACCGCAAACCGACACUGGUGCGCGAGAUGAGUAUUCUAAGGCGCUUGAGAGAACUCAGGAGAAGGAACUCGGCAAAUUGACACCGUAACUUCGGAAGAAGGUGUGCCUUUAGUAGGUGAAGUCCCUCGCGGAUGGAGCCCAAUGAGGUUGCAAAAAAUCGGUGGCUGCGACUGUUUAUUAAAAACACAGCACUCUGCAAACACGAAAGUGGACGUAUAGGGUGUGACGCCUGCCCGGUGCUGGAAGAUUAAAUGAUGGGGUGCAAGCUCUUGAUUGAAGUCCCAGUAAACGGCGGCCGUAACAAUAACGGUCCUAAGGUAGCGAAAUUCCUUGUCGGGUAAGUUCCGACCUGCACGAAUGGCGUAACGAUGGCCACACUGUCUCCUCCUGAGACUCAGCGAAGUUGAAAUGUUUGUGAUGAUGCAAUCUCCCCGCGGAAAGACGGAAAGACCCCAUGAACCUUUACUGUAGCUUUGUAUUGGACUUUGAACAGAUCUGUGUAGGAUAGGUGGGAGGCUUUGAAGCAGGGUCGCUAGAUCUUGUGGAGCCAACGUUGAAAUACCACCCUGGUGUGUUUGAGGUUCUAACCUAGGCCCGUAAUCCGGGUUGGGGACAGUGCAUGGUAGGCAGUUUGACUGGGGCGGUCUCCUCCCAAAGUGUAACGGAGGAGUUCGAAGGUACGCUAGUUACGGUCGGACAUCGUGACGAUAGUGCAAUGGCAUAAGCGUGCUUAACUGCGAGACUGACAAGUCGAGCAGAUGCGAAAGCAGGACAUAGUGAUCCGGUGGUUCUGUAUGGAAGGGCCAUCGCUCAACGGAUAAAAGGUACUCUGGGGAUAACAGGCUGAUACCGCCCAAGAGUUCAUAUCGACGGCGGUGUUUGGCACCUCGAUGUCGGCUCAUCUCAUCCUGGGGCUGUAGCCGGUCCCAAGGGUAUGGCUGUUCGCCAUUUAAAGAGGUACGUGAGCUGGGUUUAAAACGUCGUGAGACAGUUUGGUCCCUAUCUUCCGUGGGCGCUGCAGAUUUGAGGAAGCCUGCUCCUAGUACGAGAGGACCGGAGUGGACGCACCUCUGGUGUAUCGGUUGUCACGCCAGUGGCAUUGCCGAGUAGCUAUGUGCGGAAGAGAUAACCGCUGAAAGCAUCUAAGCGGGAAACUCGUUUCAAGAUGAGAUCUGCCGGGGCCUUGAGCCCCCUGAAGAGUCGUUCAAGACCAGGACGUUGAUAGGUCGGGUGUGGAAGCGCAGUAAUGCGUUAAGCUAACCGAUACUAAUUGCUCGUGCGGCUUGAUCAA
rnacentral:rRNA from 1 species